rnacentral:rRNA from 1 species
GACGAACGCUGGCGGCGCGCUUAACACAUGCAAGUCGAGCGAGAACCAGGCCCUUCGGGCCGUGGGGACAGCGGCGAACGGGUGAGUAACACGUGAGUAAUCCACCCUCGGUACCGGAAUACGCCCGGGAACUCGGAUUAAUGCCGGAUGGCCCAUUUGCUCUUCGGAGCUGAAUGGAAAAGAUAGCUUCGGCCUUCGACCGGGGACGAGCUCGCGGCGGAUUAGCUUGUUGGCGGGGUAACGCCCACCAAGGCGACGAUCCGUAGCUGGUCUAAGAGGACGAUCAGCCACACUGGGACUGAGACA